rnacentral:SRP_RNA from 1 species
GCUGGGCGUGGUGGCGGGCGCCUGUAGUCCCAGCUACUUAGGAGGCUGAGGCAGGAGAAUCACUUGAACUUGGGAGGCAGAGGUUGCAGUGAGACGAGAUUGCGGCACUGCACUCCAACCUGGGUGACAGAGUGAGACCCUGUCUCAA